CCAAGACUGACAACUGGUGAAUGGAAAACCGGAAUAAGCACUUGGAAGAAGAAAACGACAACUGAGACAACUUGCCUUUGAUUUGCCUGGCGUAAUGGAUACUUUGAAAACCACAAGAGCGCAGCUAAUAGCACUGAAGAAUGAUGGUGGAAGUUCAUCCUGUGUGGGUGUAUCGUGUGCAUCACCUUCUGUCCCGUCUGAAGAGUUGAACUCAUCUCCUUGUCAAGUGUCGUACUCAAGGCCUAAACAGCUGCUACUUUGGCAAAGUUUCCUGGGACUUCAUAAGGUGUGAUCAGUGACGCUGUUACGAGAAAAAUUG